AACAACUGACACACACACACACACACACACACACACACACACACUUCAAAGUCGAUCUUGAACUUGGCUUCAGGUGGUGGGUGCGGCCGCGGGUCACAGUGUCAAGGAGGAAGAGAAUCAUCGGAAAAAGCCUCGCGCGGGCCUUAAGGGAUUCGCAACAUAAUCGUUUCGCCACGAAUAAGGAUUCUUUGAUUAAGGUCUUUCUAAUUGCAAAAUGGGAGACGGACACUCAUUGCAUAAUUUCGAAAGAAGUGUGAUUGAAAUAUUUAUAGUCAUUAACAUACGUGUAGUUUUUAAUUUUGUUUAGUCAGCGGGCUUUACUUUUCAUAUUUCAAAACUCCUUGUUAUUAAAGUAAAAGGUUAAGAUUGGGGCAUAUGCCAAAGCUGCGCGUGGCCUCGGCGUUCAUAUCCGUCUCAUCGCCCCUUGAGUCUGUGCUGAGUACGACUAAAGAAUCCAGGGCAAGUGUGACCCCCAAGUUACCACUGAUAACCUUCCCCAAGUUUCCCCAGAUACCCGUUUAUCAACCAGCGUAAAAGGGAGGUUGACCCCCAAGAUAAGCUGCGUUCUGACUGCCCUGGCUGGGAUACGAACUCGUGGUCUUGUAUUCGUAGUUAGUCGUGUUAACAGUGCACCGGGGAGGCUAUUAAUAUCUUUGCCAGGCUGCCUCACUGUACCCGGCGACUCUUCACCAAACACCCACACCACCAAAUUCUUUCACUCACGCCUACUCCCACUUAAGCCUUCGCCACUACAAAACACUCAUACUGCUACACACUGCCUCCACCCGGUAUUACAACGCCUUGACACACACACACACACACACACACACACGAGUCGCUUCCCCGUGUGUGUGUGUUUAUCACGUCAUCUGCAACAAGCCUUUCUCUCUCUUCCCAAGCACACCCACCCGUCAGCCUCAACCUUCUCCUCUUCCCCCUCUCCUCCUCCUCGUCUCCUCUCCCCGUCGUGUGCAGCUCCUCGCCUAUUGUUUCACGGUGCAUUAUUUCUUAUACCUUUUUUGUCUGCGUUUCCAUACUAGCUCCAUUUUGUAUUCCAAGUGCCUCUCUUUACACCGUUUCUGCCCCGAGGCGUGUCACCGAGCGAGCGGGAUAAUGGUUACAUGUUUCAGGGAGGUGAAGUUUAUUUUUUCUUCCAGGGAGCUGUGUUAUGUAACGUGUUUUUGUCAUCUUCCUCGACAAUGCCAUUUUUCUCUCUCCUUGAAUGUGACAUAUGUGUGCAGGGAGUGUUGUUGCUUAUGAUGGGAAACUACGAUUGUGGAAGUAUUUGAGAAAGAGCGUUGAAAAAGUUAAAAUAAUAUGUCUUCAUUGCUAUUAUUACCAUUAUUUGCUUAUUUGAAGACGCAGAAAGCAAGGUAGCGUACUCUGUCCUUGAAUGUGAGAAGUGUGUAGAAAAAAAGUAAUUGGAAACUUAAAAUCAUGAUACUUGAGAGAAGAAAGUAAGUUAUUAGGUAAGCUAUUGUUCUUGUUCUCAUUAUCACGUAUCAUCAUUACCAUUACUUGCGUUCUCCUUUUAUAUUCUCAUGCAAACUUGACACAUAAGGCAAAGGCGCCGCACGUGUAGAUGCUGUCACAGGUUAGGAAUCCGGUUCAGCGCGCCCAAAGGUGACUCACUGGUGCAUCAUUCGGGUCCGCGCCGGUUUGUCUGUUUGAACCUCUAUGGCGGGAAAAAAAAAGCGUUGGCCAGCUGACGGUUAGCCUCGACUUGCAACGCUCCUGAUUUAGACACACUGAAGUAGUAGGAGGCGUCUUUUAAUAUGUGCAGGGGUAGUAAUCAUGCCAGCGGGGUAAGUUUCAGGUCCAUAUUCUCAUACAUUUCGGAGCUUACACCCACCCACAUUUGGUAAGGCUUUUGUAUAGGUUGUGGGUAGUUCCAUGGGUAGUUUUGUAAGUCUUGUGAUAGUUUGAUAAGGCUUACACACCCACAUUUGGUAAGGCUUUUGUAUAGGUUGUGGAUAAUUCCAUGGGUAGUUUUGUAAGCCUUGUGAUAGUUUGAUAAGGCUUACACACACACAUUUGGUAAGGCUUUUGUAUAGGUUGUGGAUAGUUCCAUGGGUAGUUUUGUAAGCCUUGUGAUAGUUUGAUAAGGCUUCUGCAUCGUGAACGGGAAAAGCGCUCAAGAGAACCCUUUGGAAAUAGGCUUUUGUAUAGGUUGUGGUUAGUUCCAUGGGUAGUUUUGUAAGCCUUGUGAUAGUUUGAUGAGGCUUCUGCAACAUGAACAGGAGAAACACUCAAGAAAACCCUUAGGAAAUACUUGUUGUCAGAGAAUACGGGUUUUAAGUUCCCCAAAACACCAGUGGUUCCUUAAAACAUCAUGAAAGCAAUAAAGAAAAUAAUGCCUAUGAGUUCAACGUGUUAGUGAUGCACCGCUCGCUGCCUCUCGCACAUUUCGUAACGCUGACCCGCAAGAUUGAUAAACCAUCGCGUUUGCAGCGUUGCACAACUGUUGAGUCUAGCUGAGUCUUUCCACACCUGUUCGCCGCGUGCUGGAGGGUCACCUACGUAUACAGCGGGCAAACAGGACUGAUGGGAUAAACAAGCAUGAAGUGUAGUCCUGCUCAUUAGAUAGACAGUGAGGAGUAAUACAUAUCCCUCCUCCUUUUCCUCCUAGGGGGCUUCGUGGUGCAGUGGUUAGCACACUCGGCUCACAUCCAAGAGAGCCCGGGUUUGAUUCCCGGGCGGAGUGGAAAAAUUUGGGCGGCUUUUCUGAUACCCUACGCCCCUGUUCACCCAGCAGUGAAUGGGUACCAGGUAUUAAUCGGGGGUUGUGUCCCGUCCCCUGGGGUUUGUUCCUUUCUCCUAUAAUUCCUUUCCCUUCUGUCUCUCCGGCAUAUGACCACAGAUGUUGCGCCGACUAAACGAAACUUUCCAAAUUUUUCCUUUUCCUCCUCCCAUUUUUUAACUGUCUUCAGCCUGAUAGUCACAAUUGCCUGAUGGAUCUCCUUCCCCCUCAUCCAAAAACUAAUGGUUCGUCUGUCGAUUAGGGGUUAAAACGCUUGGCUUCGAUGAUUGAGGGAAGCCUCUUGGUCUUGAAGCAUCCUUUAAUAGUCAACAGACCACUCAGCACACGAUGGGACAUUUGAUGAUGGAGUGACAGAGAACGUCGCUAUUAUUAUUGCUAUUAUCAUCGUUAUUAUCGCCGCUAUCAUCAAUAUUUUUACGUAUAGAAGAUCGCUGGGAGUAUCUGUGGGAGUUGACAUGCCAGAGGAAGCGAGGGUGUGAAUCAUGGAGUGGUUAAGUGGGGGAAAGGAACCUCUUGGAUAGUUUAGAUGUAGAUAAGAAGUGUAGAGAGGAAGCUGUUGAAAAGUUUACGAUUAACAGAUAAGGGAAGUGGGUGCAGUGUGAGAAAAUGGGUGAGAGGCUUUGUGAAGGGAAAGAUGAAAAGGAAAAGGAUGAAGAGAAGUGAAGGAAUUAAAGAUAUGCGUGUAAUCGACAGAAUGGAAGAGAAAAAGUUAACAGCAGACGUAACCUUGGUGCUCUCUUUGAAGAAGUGUGCGAUUGGAACGAGACAUCAUGAUAGAUAGAGAAUUAAAGACACUGAAAGAAAAGUACUUGACACACACACACACACACACACACACACACACACACACUAAACCCUUCCUUCCUUUCGAAGAUAACAACCGUAGAAAAAUCUCUUCCAUUGUCUCAUCGCAUCUCAGAGAACGUGUGUGUUUGUGUGUGUGUGUGUGUAGGGCUUCCUUCCUCAUGUGUGCACGCUGAGAGAGGCAGGAAGCGAGUAGGUGUGUGUGUGUGUGUGUGUGUGUUGAAGGCUUGGCGCGUCCCUGUUUGAGCGGGAAAGCUUUGUCUCACGGAAGUGGAAGGAGUAGGCUAGUGAGGGUGACGAACAGCGUAACUCCCCGUGUUCUUAUGGCUACGUGACUCCUUCCCCCCCUCUCUCUCUCUCUCUCUCUCUCUCUGCAAAGGUCACAUUCUCCGAUCUUUGUGUUUUUCGUAACUACUCAGACUGCCGGUGUUACUAGCUCGAUCCUGAGUAUUGAUUCGGUGCGUGUGUGUGUGUGUGUGUAUUCCAUGUGGAAGAGAGAGAGAGAGAGAUAAGAGAGAAAUGUUGGAUAGGUCGGGUUGUCCUCUCUUUCUCCUCUCGCUCUCUUCAUCCCCGCGCGCUCUUUUCCUCCCCGAAGUCUUCCCCCUUUCAGAAUUAGGUCAAAGAGAAGAGAAAUAAGAGCACUAGAAGGAGGAAGAAGAAGAAGAGGAGGUGGAGGAGGUGUAAAGUAGAGAGGAGGAAGGAUCGAGGCAAGACUUAGGAAAAUAACGAAAACAAGUCUUAUUUUCUUGUCACAUGAAGGAUUUUUUUUUGUUUAAUUUUUUCUCUUCAUUCGCCUCUCGUGUGGUGCCUAGUUUUUGUGGGAACUGUAUUUAGCCGAGGCGAGAGAGAGCCAAGACGUGGACUUGAAUAACUAAACCAUCGCAGUCGGUCUAGUAGUAGGCUUGUAUCAUUCUCCUUCAGAAGUAUUAACGCUAGUUCCAAUCACACGACGCCACGAACACAAGUUAAGAGUUUAGUGAUUGCUGGUGUGAAGGGGACAGUUUUGAUAGUCACUUGUUUGGUUCUUUGUUAUGUUAUUGCUGUUGUUGGCCUUGUUAUAGUCAUGCGAUUUCGUUUCGAGAUGGAAUAAUGAAUAGAGUUUCUGUUAGUUGUUGUAGUAGUAUAAUUCUUGUUGUGGAAGGGCGAUAUUUAGAGAAAAGUCAAAACAAACACAAGGUUUUCUGAUGUCGUUUCAAGAUGGCAUGAUAAAUAGUUUCUUCGUUGUUAUUGUAGUAGGCAUAUUAGUUGUUCUUGUUGUGGAAGGGCGCGUGUCAUCACCCACCACAAACAUACUAUAACGUGUUCUGAUCUCGUUUUAAGACGUUACGAUAAAUAGAGCUUCUCCGUUGUUAGCGUACCAGCAGUAGUUGUUGGUAUGGAAAGCCUCGUGUAAUGAACUCACCACAAAUAAGUUAUAAGGUUUUCUGAUCUCGUUUCAAUAUAGUUUAGUCAAUGGGGCUUCUGCUUCGUUAUUGUGGUGGCAGAAGUUGUUGUCAGGGGAAGGGCGCGCGUUGAUAAGUACCGUCGCAGUACCGAGGGCGCGCCUGGGCCUCCGGAGCGGCCUGCCUCUUGGCCUGCACCUGCGCACUGGCCCUCUGCCUUUGUGUGGCCGAGUCGUCACCGCCGCCGCCAACACCCGCCGCCGCUGCCUCUUCACCCGCGGCCCCCUCACCCUCACACAACCAUAACCCGACCUGAUUCUUACCAGCGACUCCUCACAGCUCGGAGCGGUUGUGCGUACUUCCCCACGCCUGUCCUUGCUCUGUGCACAAUGCGUGUUGCUUGCUGCCUUCCCCCCCACCCCACCCCACCCGUGCCUAAGUUACUGUACACACCGAUAAUUGGGUUCACGUCUCCGGCUGGCGAGGGCGGUGGUAGGUGCGUGGGUGGCUCCCCUGCAAAGCUUCUACCAGGAAAAGCUCAUUGCCUUGCCACCUGCCCCAUCGCGGUAAUUCCCCACUUUAGUCUUUGUUGCAAAAAAAAAUUAUGAGGUUAUGUACAUUCACAGCACUUAAACUGUGCGUCACUUAAUGCAACUUUUGGGAUACUAAUUAAAGUUUAUUUUAACUAUGUUUUUAGGUGUGUGUGUGUGUGUGUGUGUGUGUGUGUGUGUGUGUGUGUGUGUGUG